UACGUAGGAGACGAGCGUUGUCCGGAAUUACUGGGCGUAAAGCGCGUGUAGGCGGAUGGGCAAGUCUGCUGUGAAAGCUCCUGGCUUAACCGGGAGUGGUCGGUGGAAACUGCCAAUCUGGAGGACGGUAGAGGUAGGUAGAAUUCCCGGUGUAGUGGUGAAAUGCGUAGAGAUCGAGAGGAAUACCUGUGGCGAAGGCGGCCUACUGGGCCGGACCUGACGCUGAGACGCGAAGGCGUGGGGAGCGAACGGG
rnacentral:rRNA from 1 species